rnacentral:snRNA from 1 species
GGGUGUGAGGAUGAUCUGGCUAAAGCAUUUUUCCCAUUGAUUGCCAGGGUUGAUUUGGUUGAUCUGGCUGGCUAGACUGGUACCCCCUUUCUCUCACUGCACCAUACACGUUGGAACAAGGGGGGUUGUCAAACUUCCAGACAUCCAAAUGAGGUGCUGUGUGUGACAAUCUGCCUUUU